GUGGGCAGUGGUUGCUAGGCAACCACAAAGGCCGGAUCCCCUCCAAGUUAAUGGCAUGAGUGGCCAGCUGCAGAAGCAACAGCCCCCACCAGACACAAGUCAGCCCUAACUAGUGUCUCCCCUCCAUAAGGCAUGGGUUGGCUCAGAGCAUUAGUCAUCCCAUUUGCAUUGGCCGCCUGUGGUGCAGCAGCAUCCAGCCUUUGUGGCGAGGGGUCUUCACAUGGCCACGUGGCGAUUUCCACUCUGCAGCAAUGGUCUCUCUUUGCAGGCCUUCAGGCCCAUGUGGAAGAGGGCAGUGACCAGUGAAGGAGAGAAGGGCAGCAACCUUACGAGGCAUUGAGCAAGGAGCGGCCGCUGUACAGGCUCUGCAAGUAUUGGCUGGACUCGUGUCCUGUUUUCAGAGAUAGACUGCUCCUGUACACAAGGGUUCCAUUCAGCUAUCAUUGUGGUUCCCACCAUUGAUCUGUCUCACCUCCAUGAAUUUGUCUAGCUCUUUUAAAAGCCAUUUAAGCUAGAGGGCAUCAUAACCUCCUAUGGCAGCAACUCCCACAGAAAAUGCAAUAAUAAGGAAUAAAAGCAACGAGACUUAUUUGCGGAGGGUAGCUAUGUCAUGGACUGCUAUCCAAAGAUAGCCGAAUGGGAUCUCCACACCCGGAGGCAGUAUACUGUUGAAUUCCAAAUACCGGGGACAGACAACCAGAGCAGGCUGUAUCGUCUUCUGAGCUUCCUGGGGCAUCCGGCUGACCUCUCCUGGAAGCAGCGGGCCUUUGCCACCUCAGGAAGGCCCUUUGUAGGUUCUUAAAUGUUACUGAAGUCAGUGAGACUUAAGAGCUCUGCUGGCAGGAAACGGCACCUUUCCCCCAUCCCUUCCAUUUUACGCUGUCUCCAGGUAGAGUUGCUUACUUUCACUGGCCCUGUGUGGCUGCAACUCUCCCCCUCAUAGAGCUGCGACACUCUGGAAGCAGGAUUACUAGCACCCCCACCCCAAGAGGGAUCACAGAUGAGUCGCACCACUAACAUGAUUUUACAUGCACGCACACGCACUCCCAGAUAGAAACGAAGCAUUUCAACCCAACUGGUGCCACUUCUUUCAUCCCAGUUCCUCCUAAUCCACAUGGCUCCCGCCCUCCCAAUAUUUUAGAAGAGACCGGUUGAAGACUGUCCUUUGUAUGUAAAUCCUUGAUCUCUCUUUUGGUUCCCUUUACUUUUGAUUUAAAUCCUGAUCUCUCUUUUGGUUUCCUUUGAGUCAGUUGUAGCUGCCUUGUUGAUUUUUAGUGUAUUUUAAAUUAGAUUUUAUAGUUGUUUUGUUUUUAAUUUGUUGUUCACUGCCCUGGGGCCCCAGAACAAAGAGUGGUAUAUAAAUAUA